GAGACAAUCGAUGAUAUUGCACUAUCGUUUAUCUUCUGUAUUACGCAUCACUAUAGAUGAUACAGAGAGCGACAGAUGCCGAAAGAUAUAAUAAUGAAUGCGGACACUGCAUUGGUGUUUGUGUAUCUCUGUGUGAGGAACAACGUAAAAUCUGUGUAGUUGUUGAUGUUAACUAAAAUGAAACACGAAUCGGAGCACUAAAGUGACCUCUGAAAAGAUUUUUUCCAUAGGACAGAAAUCGAUCGGUUUUUUACGGAAAUUUGCAACAAUUAGUAAGACUACAAGUGAAAAAUACUUCAGAAGUGCGCCGCAUCAAGGCAUCAUACGAAAAAAUAUCAUUAUUCAGGCGAUGAGACCGUAUUGAAUAUACCUGAUGUAAUUUGUUGAUAAAAAGCCAAGGUAGAACGAAUUGGGAUAAAUAAAGGUGUAAAAUGCUUUCAUCUGUUAAUAAGCUCUGGAAGUUCAUAAGUCAAUAUGGUUUGGAAACUAGUGCUCGAAGUUUGCAUUUUGACUAUCGUUGGUCUAGCGAUGGUGUCCGUGGUUGGAGCUGAAUGUCGUUGGACAGGAUACCACGCUCACUCAGCAGGCGACUGGGUAGUGAAUAUAGCUGAUAAGAACUUGAAUGUGAUUUGUUGGCAAUAA